CAGAAGUUCCAUUCUAGCCAUCAACAAACAUAGAACACAUUAGGAGAUAUAGGAUAGCCUCAGCCAAUAGGAAACGAAGAUUAACCAUAAAGGAUUCAAAGUAGAAGCAGGAGGUGACCUAG
rnacentral:lncRNA from 1 species